rnacentral:rRNA from 1 species
UACAGAGGUGGCAAGCGUUGUUCGGAAUUACUGGGCGUAAAGGGCGCGUAGGCGGCACAGCAAGUCGGGAGUGAAAGCCCGGGGCUCAACCCCGGAACUGCUUUCGAAACUGCUGAGCUAGAGUGCGGAAGGGGCAACCGGAAUUCCCAGUGUAGCGGUGAAAUGCGUAGAUAUUGGGAAGAACACCUGAGGCGAAGGCGGGUUGCUGGGCCGACACUGACACUGAGGCGCGAAAGCCAGGGGAGCAAACGGG